rnacentral:ncRNA from 1 species
AGCAAGGAUUAACCCCUGUACCUUUCGCAUAAUGGAUUAACUAGAAACAAUUUCACAAAGAGAACUAAAGCCAAAUCCCCCGAAACCAGACGAGCUACCCAAAAACAGCUAAAAGAGUGCACCCGUCUAUGUGGCAAAAUAGUAGGAAGAUUUAUGGGUAGAGGUGACAAGCCUACCGAGCCUGGUGAUAGCUGGUUAUCCAAGAUAGAAUCUUAGUUCAACCUUAAGUUUACCUACAGAGCCACUUAAUCCCCUUGUAAACUUAAUUGUCAGUCUAAAGAGGGACAGCUCUUUAGACACUAGGAAAAAACCUUAUAUAGAGAAUAAAAACCUCAACUACCAUAGUUGGCCCAAAAGCAGCCAUCAAUUAAGAAAGCGUUCAAGCUCAACAUCAACCACCUAAAAAAUCCCAAACAUAUAACUGAACUCCUCACACUACAUUGGAUUAGUCUAUCACCUUAUAGAAACAAUAAUGUUAGUAUAAGUAACAUGAAUACUUUCUCCACCGCAUAAGCCUAAGUCAGACCGAAAACCUCACCGACACUUAACAGUCCAAUAUCAACAAACACAAACAAGCUGACAUUACUUCCACUGUUAAUCCAACACAGGUAUGCCCCUAAGGAAAGGUUAAAAAAAGUAAAAGGAACUCGGCAAACUUAACCCCCGCCUGUUUACCAAAAACAUCACCUCUAGCAUUACUAGUAUUAGAGGCACCGCCUGCCCAGUGACACACGUUUAACGGCCGCGGUACCCUGACCGUGCAAAGGUAGCAUAAUCACUUGUUCUCUAAUUAGGGACUCGCAUGAAUGGCAUCACGAGGGUUUAACUGUCUCUUACUUUUAACCAGUGAAAUUG